UCAGUUCAGAUUGCAGGCUGCAACCCGCCUGCAUGAAGUCGGAAUUGCUAGUAAUCGCGGAUCAGCAUGCCGCGGUGAAUACGUUCCCGGGCCUUGUACACACCGCCCGUCACACCAUGGGAGCCGGUAAUACCCGAAGUCAGUAGUCCAACCUCGUGAGGACGCUGCCGAAGGUAGGAUUGGCGACUGGGGUGAAGUCGUAACAAGGUAUC
rnacentral:rRNA from 1 species